GCCCAGGUGGCGAAAUUGGUAGACGCGCUGGCUUCAGGUGCCAGAGUCCGUAAGGGCGUGAAGGUUCGAGUCCUUUCCUGGGCACCA
rnacentral:tRNA from 1 species